AGUGAACGCUGGCGGCGUGCCUAAUACAUGCAAGUCGAACGGAAUUUAAAAGAGCUUGCUCUUUUAAAUUUAGUGGCGCACGGGUGAGUAAUAUAAAGCUAAUCUGCCCCUUGCUGGAGGACAACAGUUAGAAAUGACUGCUAAUACUCCAUACUCCUUUUUACCAUAAGAUAAAUCGGGAAAGAAUUUCGGCAAGGGAUGAGACUAUAUCGUAUCAGCUAGUCGGUGGGGUAACGGCCUACCGAGGCUAUGACGCGUAACUGGUCUGAGAGGAUGAUCAGUCACAUUGGAACUGAGACACGGUCCAAACUCCUACGGGAGGCAGCAGUAGGGAAUAUUGCGCAAUGGGGGAAACCCUGACGCAGCAACGCCGCGUGGAGGAUGACACUUUUCGGAGCGUAAACUCCUUUUGUUAGGGAAGAAUAAUGACGGUACCUAACGAAUAAGCA
rnacentral:rRNA from 1 species